rnacentral:rRNA from 1 species
GACAGAGGUGCCAAGCGUUAGGCGGAAUCACUGGGCUUAAAGCGUGUGUAGGCGGAUCGUUAAGUGCCUUGUGAAAUCCCACGGCUUAACCGUGGAACUGCUCGGCAUACUGGCGGUCUUGAGCCAGCUAGGGGCUACCGGAACAAAUGGUGGAGCGGUGAAAUGCGUAGAUAUCAUUUGGAACGCCAAUGGUGAAAACAGGUAGCUGGGGCUGUGCUGACGCUGAGACACGAAAGCCAGGGGAGUGAACGGG